AGUGAACGCUGGCGGUAGGCCUAACACAUGCAAGUCGAACGGCAGCACAGUAAGAGCUUGCUCUUACGGGUGGCGAGUGGCGGACGGGUGAGGAAUACAUCGGAAUCUACUUUUUCGUGGGGGAUAACGUAGGGAAACUUACGCUAAUACCGCAUACGACCUACGGGUGAAAGCAGGGGAUCUUCGGACCUUGCGCGAUUGAAUGAGCCGAUGUCGGAUUAGCUAGUUGGCGGGGUAAAGGCCCACCAAGGCGACGAUCCGUAGCUGGUCUGAGAGGAUGGUCAGCCACACUGGAACGUGGACACGGUCCAGACUCCUACGGGAGGCAGCAGUGGGGAAUAUUGGACAAUGGGCGCAAGCCUGAUCCAGCCAUACCGCGUGGGUGAAGAAGGCCUUCGGGUUGUAAAGCCCUUUUGUUGGGAAAUAAAAGCAGCAGGUUAAUACCCCGCUGUUCUGACGGUACCCAAAGAAUAAGCACCGGCUAACUUCGUG
rnacentral:rRNA from 1 species